CACACAACCACAACUACAACACCAACAGUCUGAUCUGAAAAGAACACAAUGAUCAUUUUCUUCUGUUUAAUGUUGAAGGUGAUGCUGGUUUCAGGUACUUCAGUCCAACAGAAUCCACCUCAUAUUUACAAGAAACAGGGAGAAAAAGCUGAAAUUACCUGUUCACAUCAAAACAACCUCUAUGACCGGAUCCUCUGGUACAAACAAUCAAAGAACAAUGAGCUGAAGCUCCUGGGAUAUAUGGACUAUAAAACUCCAAACCCUGAACCUGGAGUGACUGUGCAGAUGAGUGGAGGUGCAAGUAAAGGUGAAACCUGCACAUUAACCACUGAAGAACUCAGCCUGAACAGCAGUGCAGUUUACUUCUGUGCUGCAAGCCAACACAGUGAUGUGAACUGCUGUGUCUCUGUACAAAAACCUCCCACAGCAUUGUUUUUUUCAUCUUUUAUCAGAACUCAUACUCUGCACCUGUACUAA